UACGGGGGGGGGUAAGCGUUGUUCGGAAUUACUGGGCGUAAAGCGUGCGCAGGCGGUUCGUGAUGUCUGAUGUGAAAGCCCCGGGCUCAACCUGGGAACUGCAUUGGAAACUAGCGGGCUGGAGUGUGGCAGAGGGGGGUGGAAUUCCACGUGUAGCAGUGAAAUGCGCAGAUAUCAGGAGGAACACCAAUUGCGAAGGCAGCUCGCUGGGACGUUACUGACGCUGAGACGUGAAAGCGUGGGGAGCGAACAGG
rnacentral:rRNA from 1 species